ACAUUGAUAAACCUAAAGGCGCAAUGAAAGUGAAGGUUCGCCUCGCGCGGACCGAGGGAGGAUGGGCCCGUCCACGGGCGGGCCCCGCACUCCCGGGGCGUCUCGUUCUCAUCGCGAGAAGAGGCGCACCCAGAGCGUACACGCUGGGACCCGAAAGAUGGUGAACUAUGCCUGGUCAGGACGAAGUCAGGGGAAACCCUGAUGGAGGUCCGUAGCGAUUCUGACGUGCAAAUCGAUCGUCGGAACUGGGUAUAGGGGCGAAAGACUAAUCGAACCUUCUAGUAGCUGGUUCCUUCCGA
rnacentral:rRNA from 1 species